GAGGAAAUUGUUUCCUCGAGUCGUUGAUUUCACACUGCCGAGAAAAGCCUCUAGAUAGAGAUUAGGUGCCCGUACCGCAAACCGACACAGGUAGUCAAGAUGAGAAUUCUAAGGUGAGCGAGCGAACUCUCGUUAAGGAACUCGGCAAAAUGACCCCGUAACUUCGGGAGAAGGGGUGCUCUUUAGGGUGCAAGCCCAGAAGAGCCGCAGUGAAUAGGCCCAAGCGACUGUUUAUCAAAAACACAGGUCUCUGCUAAACCGUAAGGUGAUGUAUAGGGGCUGACGCCUGCCCGGUGCUGGAAGGUUAAGAGGAGUGGU
rnacentral:rRNA from 1 species